rnacentral:rRNA from 1 species
GAUGAACGCUGGCGGCGUGCUUAACACAUGCAAGUCGAACGGAAAGGCCCAAGCUUGCUUGGGUACUCGAGUGGCGAACGGGUGAGUAACACGUGGGUGAUCUGCCCUGCACUUCGGGAUAAGCCUGGGAAACUGGGUCUAAUACCGGAUAGGACCACUUCUUGGAUGUUGGGGUGGGAAGUUUUUUGGGUGUGGGAUAAGCUCGCGGCCUAUCAGCUUGUUUGUGGGGUAAUGGCCUACCCAAGCGUCGUCGGGUAUCCGGGCUGUGAGGGUGUACGGGCAAAUUUGGGCCGAGAUACGGCCCAGACUCCUACGGGAGGCAGCAGUGGGGAAUAUUGCAAAAUGGGCGCGAGCCUGAUGCCGCGAAGCCGCGUGGGGGAUGACGGCCUUCGGGUUGGAAACCCCUUUCGCCAGGGACGAAGCGUUUUGUGACGGUACCUGGAGAAGAAGCACCGGCUAACUACGUG